GACGAUCAGCAAGGCCAUUGCCCAGAAGAUCACCUUCUGGCCGGCAUUGUACU
rnacentral:sRNA from 1 species